rnacentral:rRNA from 1 species
CCGCCUGGGGAGUACGGCCGCAAGGUUAAAACUCAAAUGAAUUGACGGGGGCCCGCACAAGCGGUGGAGCAUGUGGUUUAAUUCGAUGCAACGCGAAGAACCUUACCUGGUCUUGACAUCCACAGAAUUCUGCAGAGAUGCGGAAGUGCCUUCGGGAACUGUGAGACAGGUGCUGCAUGGCUGUCGUCAGCUCGUGUUGUGAAAUGUUGGGUUAAGUCCCGCAACGAGCGCAACCCUUAUCCUUUGUUGCCAGCGGUUAGGCCGGGAACUCAAAGGAGACUGCCAGUGAUAAACUGGAGGAAGGUGGGGAUGACGUCAAGUCAUCAUGGCCCUUACGACCAGGGCUACACACGUGCUACAAUGGCGCAUACAAAGAGAAGCGACCUCGCGAGAGCAAGCGGACCUCAUAAAGUGCGUCGUAGUCCGGAUUGGAGUCUGCAACUCGACUCCAUGAAGUCGGAAUCGCUAGUAAUCGUGGAUCAGAAUGCCACGGUGAAUACGUUCCCGGGCCUUGUACACACCGCCCGUCACACCAUGGGAGUGGGUUGCAAAAGAAGUAGGUAGCUUAACCUUCGGGAGGGCGCUUACCACUUUGUGAUUCAUGACUGGGGUGAAGUCGUAACAAGGUAACCGUAGGGGAACCUGCGGUUGGAUCACCUCCUUACCUUAAAGAAGC